ACUCCUACGGGAGGCAGCAGUGGGGAAUUUUGGACAAUGGGCGAAAGCCUGAUCCAGCAAUGCCGCGUGAGUGAAGAAGGCCUUCGGGUUGUAAAGCUCUUUUGUCAGGGAAGAAACGGUGAAAGCUAAUAUCUUUUGCUAAUGACGGUACCUGAAGAAUAAGCACCGGCUAACUACGUGCCAGCAGCCGCGGUAAUACGUAGGGUGCAAGCGUUAAUCGGAAUUACUGGGCGUAAAGCGUGCGCAGGCGGUUUUGUAAGUCUGAUGUGAAAUCCCCGGGCUCAACCUGGGAAUUGCAGUGGGGAUUGCAAGGCUAGAAUCUGGCAGAGGGGGGUAGAAUUCCACGUGUAGCAGUGAAAUGCGUAGAUAUGUGGAGGAACACCGAUGGCGAAGGCAGCCCCCUGGGGCAAGAUUGACGCUCAUGCACGAAAGCGUGGGGAGCAAACAGGAUUAGAAACCCGAGUAGUCCCAUG
rnacentral:rRNA from 1 species